rnacentral:lncRNA from 1 species
CUUAGCUACACAAGAUGCUGAAGCAGAAACUUGGAUCAAGACAACUGUAGCAUCUUGCUGGGAAAAAGAUUCAGCAUUAUUCCUUCUGCUUUAAGAAGUUUACAGAUCUCAAAGUUGACAAAAAGAUGGUUUUUUGCAACUUUUUCUGCCAUCCUACUCUUUCUGCUUUAUGCCAUUCACUUUCAUAUUUUAACCUUUUUGAAUAAAUUGACUAGAGGUUAGGUAAAGAAUUAUUUUCUUCCCUUUUUACCCUUUCAUUACAUUUAAGAACUUAUUAGUUCCCUCUGAUUUUUUGACAGCUAUCUUGAGAUAAUUCUGAUUGGAAUUAACCAUUAUGAGUCCUUAUAUGAAAAGCUUAGCUUUCAGAUUUAUGGAGACUGUAACAUAUUUUUGAUUUAUUGAUAACUGCUAGAUAAUUCUUACUAAAGGAAAGUGAAUAAUU